rnacentral:misc_RNA from 1 species
GAUGAAGAACGUAGCGAAAUGCGAUACUUGGUGUGAAUUGCAGAAUCCCGUGAACCAUCGAGUUUUUGAACGCAAGUUGCGCCCGAAGCCAUUAGGCCCAGGGCACGCCUGCCUGGGCGUCACACGUCGUUGCCCCCCCAUCUACUCCUUCGGGAUUGCGGGGGGCGGAUGAUGGCCUCCCGUGCGCCUCGUCGCGCGGUUGGCAUAAAUGCCAAGUCCUCGGCGACGCACGCCACGACAAUCGGUGGUUGCGAAACCUCGGUUGCCCGUCGUGUGCGGUCGUCGCGCAUCGAGGGCUCGAAAAAAUUGCCGGGCUCCGGCUCGGCUUUCAACGCGACCCCAGGUCAGGCGGGGUUACCCGCUGAAUUUAAGCAUAUCAAUAAGCGGAGGA